UACAGAGGGUGCAAGCGUUGUUCGGAAUUAUUGGGCGUAAAGCGCGUGUAGGCGGUUUUGCAAGUCGGGUGUGAAAGCCCUCAGCUCAACUGAGGAAGUGCGCCCGAAACUGCAGAGCUUGAGUACCGGAGAGGAUGGCGGAAUUCCCCAAGUAGAGGUGAAAAUUCGUAGAUAUGGGGAGGAACACCGGUGGCGAAGGCGGCCAUCUGGACGGAUACUGACGCUGAGGAGCGAAAAGUGUGGGGAGCGAACAGG
rnacentral:rRNA from 1 species